GGGCCCGCACAAGCGGUGGAGCAUGUGGUUUAAUUCGAUGAUACGCGAGGAACCUUACCAGGGCUUAAAUGUACGUUGCAUAAAUCAGAGAUGUUUUUUUCUUCGGACUACGUACAAGGUGCUGCAUGGUUGUCGUCAGCUCGUGCCGUGAGGUGUCAGGUUAAGUCCUAUAACGAGCGCAACCCCUGUCGUUAGUUGCCAGCAUUUAAGAUGGGUACUCUAGCGAGACUGCCGGUGCAAACCGCGAGGAAGGUGGGGAUGACGUCAAAUCAUCACGGCCCUUACGUCCUGGGCUACACACGUGCUACAAUGGCCGGUACAGAGAGCAGCCACUACGCGAGUAGGAGCGAAUCUACAAAACCGGUCUCAGUUCGGAUCGUAGGCUGCAACUCGCCUACGUGAAGGCGGAAUCGCUAGUAAUCG
rnacentral:rRNA from 1 species